AGUGAACGCUGGCGGUAGGCCUAACACAUGCAAGUCGAACGGCAGCAUAGUAAGAGCUUGCUCUUACGGGUGGCGAGUGGCGGACGGGUGAGGAAUACAUCGGAAUCUACUUUUUCGUGGGGGAUAACGUAGGGAAACUUACGCUAAUACCGCAUACGACCUACGGGUGAAAGCAGGGGAUCUUCGGACCUUGCGCGAUUGAAUGAGCCGAUGUCGGAUUAGCUAGUUGGCGGGGUAAAGGCCCACCAAGGCGACGAUCCGUAGCUGGUCUGAGAGGAUGAUCAGCCACACUGGAACUGAGACACGGUCCAGACUCCUACGGGAGGCAGCAGUGGGGAAUAUUGGACAAUGGGCGCAAGCCUGAUCCAGCCAUACCGCGUGGGUAAAGAAGGCCUUCGGGUUGUAAAGCCCUUUUGUUGGGAAAGAAAAGCAGCAGGUUAAUACCCCGCUGUUCUGACGGUACCCAAAGAAUAAGCACCGGCUAACUUCGUG
rnacentral:rRNA from 1 species